GAUGAACGCUGGCGGCGUGCCUAAUACAUGCAAGUCGAGCGAACAGAUGCGGAUCUUGCUCCUCUGACGUUAGCGGCGGACGGGUGAGUAACACGUGGAUAACCUACCUAUAAGACUGGGAUAACUUCGGGAAACCGGAGCUAAUACCGGAUAAUAUAUUGAACCGCAUGGUUCAAUAGUGAAAGACGGUUUUGCUGUAACUUCUACAUGGAUCCGCGCGGGAUUGGCUAGGUGGUAAGGUAACGGCUUACCAAGGCAACGAUGAGUAGCCGACCUGCGAGGGUGAACGCGCACACAGGGACUGAGCCGCGGUCCAGACUCCUACGGGAGGCAGCAGUAGCGAAUCUUGCGCAAUGGGCGGAAGCCUGACGGAGCAGCGCCGCGUGAGUGAUGAAGGUCUUCGGAUCGUAUAACUCUGUUAGUAGGGAAGAACAAAUGUGUAAGUAACUAUGCACGUCUUGACGGUACCUGAUCAGAAAGCCACGGCUAACUACGUG
rnacentral:rRNA from 1 species